rnacentral:rRNA from 1 species
UCGAGAAUUUUUCGCAAUGGGCGAAAGCCUGACGAAGCGACGCCGUGUGAGUGAAGAAGGCCUUCGGGUUGUAAAGCUCUUUCGCUUGGGAACAAGAAAAGGGGGCUAAAACCCCUCUGAUUUGAGGGUACUAGGUAAAGAAGCACCGGCUAACUCCGUGCCAGCAGCUGCGGUAAUACGGAGGGUGCAAGCAUUAAUCGGAUUCAUUGGGCGUAAAGGGCGCGUAGGCGGAGAAAUAAGUCAGACGUGAAAUGCAAAGGCUUAACCUUUGGACAGCGUUUGAAACUAUUAAACUAGAGGGUAGGCGGAGAAAAUGGAAUUCCACAAGUAGCGGUGGAAUGCGUAGAUAUGUGGAGGAACACCUGUGGCGAAGGCGGUUUUCUAGCUUAUACCUGACGCUGAGGCGCGAAAGCAAGGGGAGCAAACA